ACUCCUACGGGAGGCAGCAGUGGGGAAUAUUGCACAAUGGGGGAAACCCUGAUGCAGCCAUGCCGCGUGUGUGAAGAAGGCCUUCGGGUUGUAAAGCACUUUCAGUAGGGAGGAAGGUAGUGUAGUUAACACCUGCGCAUUAUUUGACGUUACCUACAGAAGAAAGCACCGGCUAACUCCGUGCCAGCAGCCGCGGUAAUACGGAGGGUGCGAGCGUUAAUCGGAAUUACUGGGCGUAAAGCGCAUGCAGGCGGCCUGUUAAGUCAGAUGUGAAAGCCCGGGGCUUAACCUCGGAAUUUGCAUUUGAAACUGGCAGGCUAGAGUCUUGUAGAGGGGGGUAGAAUUUCAGGUGUAGCGGUGAAAUGCGUAGAGAUCUGAAGGAAUACCAGUGGCGAAGGCGGCCCCCUGGACAAAGACUGACGCUCAGAUGCGAAAGCGUGGGGAGCAAACAGGAUUAGAUACCCUGGUAGGAUAG
rnacentral:rRNA from 1 species